UACGGAGGGUGCAAACGUUGCUCGGAAUCAUUGGGCGUAAAGCGCGCGUAGGCGCGAGGCAAGUUGGAUGUGAAAGCCCUGGGCUCAACCUAGGAUGUGCAUACAAAACUGCCUCGCUUGAAUCUCGGAGGGGGUCAGGGAAUUCCCGGUGUAGAGGUGAAAUUCGUAGAUAUCCGAAAGAACACCGGUGGCGAAGGCGGCG
rnacentral:rRNA from 1 species